AGCGACAUAAGACCCGGGUAAGAGAAUGAGAUGGAUUGGUAGAUGAAGAAGGUUGAUGUUAAUCAGUGGAAGAAGGAAAAUGAUCCAGUGAUGUAGAAUCAGUUAUGAAAGGAUCCAAGGAGUAGUGUUAAAAUUAUUGGUGGUGCAAAUAACUGAAUGGAUAGUACUUGAGACAUGACAUGUGUGAGUGGAAGAAGAAGAAAUGGAACCAAGCUGAUUAACAUGAGCAGUAGUAGUAUUUAAUGCUGAAGUAGCAUUUGGU
rnacentral:lncRNA from 1 species